GUACCAAUUAUCGCGCCAGCGGUAUCGUUGGGUAGCUAUGUACGGUUGUGAUAAGCGCUGAAAGCAUCUAAGCGCGAAGCACGCUUCAAGAUAAGGUAUCCCUUACGUAAGUAACUAAAGACUCCUCCGAGAUGACGAGGUUGAUAGGCUGCAGGUGUAAGUUCUGUAAAGAAUUCAGCCAAGCAGUACUAAUAAGUCGUGAGGCUUACCCAU
rnacentral:rRNA from 1 species